CCCUUAGAUGUCCUGGGCUGCACGCGCGCUACACUGAUGUGUCCAGUAAGCACCUAACCUAUUCCGAGAGGAGCGGGUAACCUUAGCAAAGCACAUCGUGAUGGGGAUAGAUUAUUGCAAUUAUUAGUCUUGAACGAGGAAUUCCUAGUAAGCACAAGUCAUCAGCUUGUGUUGAUUACGUCCCUGCCCUUUGUACACACCGCCCGUCGCUCCUACCGAUUGAAUGUUCCGGUGAGCUCUUCGGACUGCGCGGUCUGCAGUUUCUGCGUUCCGUGCGGAAAGUUGUGCAAACCUUAACAUUUAGAAGAAGGAGAAGUCGUAACA
rnacentral:rRNA from 1 species